rfam:Verrucomicrobia bacterium IMCC26134, complete genome.
CGGGCUGUAGCGUAGCCUGGUAGCGCGCUUGCAUGGGGUGCAAGAGGUCGUGAGUUCGAAUCUCACCAGCCCGA